ensembl:ncRNA F47F6.13 ncRNA
CAGAGUACAGAGUGACCGGUUAGAGAGUCGUGCUAGGCACGACGCAAUGGGUCAGGCACGACUUGUCCUCGCUUUCUC